UCAGGAUGAACGCUAGCGACAGGCUUAACACAUGCAAGUCGAGGGGCAGCAUAAAAGUAGCAAUACUUGGUGGCGACCGGCGCACGGGUGAGUAACGCGUAUGCAACCUACCUAUCGAGGAGGGGGAUAACCCGGCGAAAGUCGGACUAAUACCGCAUAAAACAGGGGCACCGCAUGGUGAUAUUUGUUAAAAAUUUAUUGCUGAUAGAUGGGCAUGCGUUCCAUUAGGUAGUUGGAGAGGUAACGGCUCACCAAGCCCACGAUGGAUAGGGGAACUGAGAGGUUGGUCCCCCACACUGGUACUGAGACACGGACCAGACUCCUACGGGAGGCAGCAGUGAGGAAUAUUGGUCAAUGGGCGAGAGCCUGAACCAGCCAAGUCGCGUGAAGGAAGAAGGAUCUAUGGUUCGUAAACUUCUUUUGCAGGGGAAUAAAGUGCAGGACGUGUCCUGUUUUGUAUGUACCCUGAGAAUAAGGAUCGGCUAACUCCGUGCCAGCCGCCGC
rnacentral:rRNA from 1 species